CCUUCGGCUUAACCGGGACGGUGCAUUGGAACCUGGGAGACUUGAGUGCAGAAGAGGAGAGUGGAACUCCAUGUGUCGCGGUGAAAUGCGUAGAUAUAUGGAAGAACACCAGUGGCGAAAGCGGCUCUCUGGUCUGUAACUGACGCUGAGGUUCGAAAGCGUGGGUAGCAA
rnacentral:rRNA from 1 species